GACGGUGGAUGAAGUGAAAAAAAGGAAACCGAACGCUGUACCAACUUUAAUUGAUGUUCUAAAUCCACCGCCGAAAAUUGAUUCUGCACCCAAAAAGGCGUUGUACAAAAUCGCGGAAAACGCACAUACUACACUGGCCACGAAUGAACUCGAAAAUCUCAAUCAAGAUGCUACUUUUGUCAAUGUAUCAUUGAAUCAACACCAGCAGAAUGUUCCUCCGAGAAAACGAGGUCCUCACGUCGUAGCGAUCGCAGUGACCACUCUUACUCCAAGAAUCCAGAGGUGGAAAAAGCACCUGAAAUUGUGGACAAUGCAUUCCACCACAGCGACGAUAAGCCUCAUCCAAUAAUCGACAAAAAAACGAAAGGAAACUGUGGAACGGUCUGAAGCAGAAAAUCUCAUUGGGCCAGAAAUCGACCAUAAUGAUACUAGGGCUGCAUAAAAUACUUCGACCUCUUUAGAAAAUCAGAAUGCUGAUCCACACGUGCUGCAGUUCCAACUCGAGAACAAACUUUUGCAGCGAUUAUGGAACAGUAGAAACAACUUGAAACUUUACGAUCGAAGCUACGCAAGUUUUUGAGUGAAGGUCAGAUGAAAAUGUUGAGCGAGGGCAGAGUUUCCAAGUGGUCAGAUGAUAUGAUAAUGGCUGGCCUCAAGUUUCGUCGGGCUCUUCCCUAGCGGACCGAGUCAACUGAAAGGAUACUCUACAGAGUAUUCUCCUAGUAUUCACAGCGUAAACAACUUUUCCAUCAAUUCUCGAAAAAGAAAAACCGUUAAUGGCAUUGCGACAAUC